GGUGAACGCUGGCGGCGUGCCUGAUACAUGCAAGUCGAGCGAACAGAUGAGGAGCUUGCUCCUCUGACGUUAGCGGCGGACGGGUGAGUAACACGUGGAUAACCUACCUAUAAGACUGGGAUAACUUCGGGAAACCGGAGCUAAUACCGGAUAAUAUAUUGAACCGCAUGGUUCAAUAGUGAAAGACGGUUUUGCUGUCACUUAUAGAUGGAUCCGCGCCGCAUUAGCUAGUUGGUAAGGUAACGGCUUACCAAGGCAACGAUGCGUAGCCGACCUGAGAGGGUGAUCGGCCACACUGGAACUGAGACACGGUCCAGACUCCUACGGGAGGCAGCAGUAGGGAAUCUUCCGCAAUGGGCGAAAGCCUGACGGAGCAACGCCGCGUGAGUGAUGAAGGUCUUCGGAUCGUAAAACUCUGUUAUUAGGGAAGAACAAAUGUGUAAGUAACUAUGCACGUCUUGACGGUACCUAAUCAGAAAGCCACGGCUAACUACGUG
rnacentral:rRNA from 1 species